UACGGAGGGUGCAAGCGUUAUCCGGAUUCACUGGGUUUAAAGGGCGCGUAGGCGGGCAGGUAAGUCAGUGGUGAAAUCUCCAAGCUUAACUUGGAAACUGCCGUUGAUACUAUCUGUCUUGAAUACCGUGGAGGUGAGCGGAAUAUGUCAUGUAGCGGUGAAAUGCUUAGAUAUGACAUAGAACACCAAUUGCGAAGGCAGCUCGCUACACGAAUAUUGACUCUGAGGCACGAAAGCGUGGGGAUCAAACAGG
rnacentral:rRNA from 1 species